rnacentral:lncRNA from 1 species
CACUACCACCGCUGCCACCACUACCAUUGCCGUCAACGCCUCCUGCUAGCCGGCGGCGAUGCACGGUAGUGUCCUCGAGCACGGCGUGCACGCAUCGUGCUGCGAAUGUUCAUGAGUCUCGCGCGGUGCGUCAGGCAAAAACACGUUGUGUCGUCGUGAGACGGGUGACGGGCCAAAGUGCAUCCCUUCGAGAUUCCCGGUGUUUUCGAGGCUCGGCUCCGACGGUUCGUUGAUGCCACGCGUAGUGUAUGGGAAACAGAUCGUACAAAUCAACCGCCUUCUAACAAGCCACAUUAACCUCAAGUGAUUUCUAUUUUCUUACGAAGCGCGAAAGAAGUAAUUAGUGUGUUUAUAUCGAUGUAAAACAAAGAGAGAAAGAGAGAGAGAGAGAGAAAGAGAGAGAAAGAAAGAGAGAGAGAGAGAGAGAGAGAAAGAAACGAGAAAAAAAAGAAGAAAAAUUAUUUCAAGAGCUUAAGUUCAGAGGAAAACAAAACAUUAAGAGCUAUAGUAUCUAAUUAGUGUACAAAGUAUAUCUGAAACAAAAUAAAGAAA